rnacentral:lncRNA from 1 species
GUUCACUAAUCAUAAAGAAUAUUAGAACGAAUACAUGCAUUCAUUAAUCAUAAAGAAUAUUAGAACAAAUAGAUAUAAGACACUAACCAAUAUAAUUUAUGAAAUUUUCUUUACAGGUAAAAUAAACACAAUAAUUGGUUGAUCAACGACGUGUAAUCCAAUAAAAGAUAAAUGUAUGAGGAAUGAUACUUCUUUUCCCUCCUCUGUACAGUUCUUGCAUGAUGGUAUAUAGAACAGGCGAAACAUAUAUAUGAUCGGUAUACUUGUAUAAUGAUCUCUUAAUUUGAUCAUUUGAAUUCACGUCUUACACCUGGAAGGUGUGUAUGCUCGAAGUAGUCCUCCCAAUCAAUUAUCCUUGGAUCAAAGAAGAAGAUUGUUUCUUCAUCUCCAAUCUCUCUAACCGCCCUACGCUUUUUGUGAACAAGUAAGGUUUGUAAAGGUCGACUAGCCUUAGCACAAACUUUAUCUUUCGGUUAAGAUUCUUGUAUGUGCUAGCGAAAGCUUGGCAAAGUAUAAGAUUCAAAAUUUGAAGUAC